rnacentral:rRNA from 1 species
GACAGAGGGUGCAAACGUUGUUCGGAAUUACUGGGCGUAAAGCGCGUGUAGGUGGCUACGCAAGUCGGGUGUGAAAACCCACGGCUUAACCGUGGAAGUGCACUCGAAACUGCGCUGCUAGAGUCCUGGAGAGGAAGGUGGAAUACUUGGUGUAGAGGUGAAAUUCGUAGAUAUCAGGUAGAACACCGGUGGCGAAGGCGGCCUUCUGGACAGUGACUGACAAUGAGACGCGAAAGCGUGGGGAGCAAACAGG